rnacentral:piRNA from 1 species
UAAUUCGUUGUUUUGAUGAGC